GCCUGGGUGGCUCAGUCGGAUAAGUGUCUGACUUCGGUUCAGGUCAUGAUCUCGCAAUUCGUGGGUUCAAGCCCUGCAUCAGGCU
rfam:Felis catus isolate Cinnamon breed Abyssinian chromosome B4, whole genome shotgun sequence.